AUUGAACGCUGGCGGCAGGCCUAACACAUGCAAGUCGAGCGGAUGAGUGGAGCUUGCCCCAUGAUUCAGCGGCGGACGGGUGAGUAAUGCCUAGGAAUCUGCCUGGUAGUGGGGACAACGUUUCGAAAGGAACGCUAAUACCGCAUACGUCCUACGGGAGAAAGCAGGGGACCUUCGGGCCUUGCGCUAUCAGAUGAGCCUAGGUCGGAUUAGCUAGUAGGUGAGGUAAUGGCUCACCUAGGCGACGAUCCGUAACUGGUCUGAGAGGAUGAUCAGUCACACUGGAACUGAGACACGGUCCAGACUCCUACGGGAGGCAGCAGUGGGGAAUAUUGGACAAUGGGCGAAAGCCUGAUCCAGCCAUGCCGCGUGUGUGAAGAAGGUCUUCGGAUUGUAAAGCACUUUAAGUUGGGAGGAAGGGCAGUAAGCUAAUACCUUGCUGUUUUGACGUUACCGACAGAAUAAGCACCGGCUAACUCUGUGCCAGCCGCCGCCGUAACAC
rnacentral:rRNA from 1 species